CUGGAGCUCACUCAGUUUUAUCUUUGGAAAUAGACUUGAUUCUAGUCCAGACUUUGUUUUUUGACCAUUGCCUCCAAAGAAAAAGUCAUUACACAGCUACGUUAGAACAUUCAUUCCCUGGAUCUUUUUAUAGAAUUCACUGGGGCAAAGGUUUUCUCGUCAAACCAGAUGAUUAGAAUGAGCACAGAAGAGGCUGGAAACUGUUCUCCAGACUGUGGCUGCACACGCACAUCAGAUUUUCACACUCUUCUGGGAAUUCCACUGCCAGUUACGUGAAGGCCGAGGCAAUUGGGUGAACUGGUGUCUGUCAUUUAUUCUACUAGGAAACAUUUACUGUGUGUCAGCCAUCGUGCUAGACACAGAGAAUGCCAGAUUGCAUUGUUGUCUCACAGUCAUGAGUUAUGCUCAUGGGUGUCAUGAUGGAUAACAGUGUUUAUCAGAAGGAGAGUGGAUCACCAGGGCAUCAACCCUAACUCCUGGCCUUUCUCCUAAAGUUGGAAUGAAGACUGUCUUAUCAUGCUUCCCUCAUUGUUUUAUCUAGUGCUGGAUCGAGGAGACCUGGAAGAACUGACUAAGCCCUCUGCCUCUGAUUUGCUUGACUCUGGGUAAGACCUGUUACCUUUCAUCUUAUUUUUCUGGUGUUAAAUGAAUAUAUUCUCAUCUA
rnacentral:lncRNA from 1 species